GAUGAACGCUGGCGGCGUGCCUAAUACAUGCAAGUCGAGCGAACGGACGAGAAGCUUACUUCUCUGAUGUUAGCGGCGGACGGGUGAGUAACACAUGGAUAACCUACCUAUAAGACUGGGAUAACUUCGGGAAACCGGAGCUAAUACCGGAUAAUAUUUUGAACCGCAUGGUUCAAAAGUGAAAGACGGUCUUGCUGUCACUUAUAGAUGGAUCCGCGCUGCAUUAGCUAGUUGGUAAGGUAACGGCUUACCAAGGCAACGAUGCAUAGCCGACCUGAGAGGGUGAUCGGCCACACUGGAACUGAGACACGGUCCAGACUCCUACGGGAGGCAGCAGUAGGGAAUCUUCCGCAAUGGGCGAAAGCCUGACGGAGCAACGCCGCGUGAGUGAUGAAGGUCUUCGGAUCGUAAAACUCUGUUAUUAGGGAAGAACAUAUGUGUAAGUAACUGUGCACAUCUUGACGGUACCUAAUCAGAAAGCCACGGCUAACUACGUG
rnacentral:rRNA from 1 species